rnacentral:rRNA from 1 species
UUGCUUUUCUGAAUCUAGUGGCGAACGGGUGAGUAACACGUAGGUAACCUGCCCAUGGUGCCCGGGAUAACUUCUGGAAACGGAUGCUAAAACCGGAUAGGUAGCAGACAAGCAUUUUGACUGCUAUUAAAGGUGGCCUUUGGCCAUGAACAUGGAUGGACCUGCGGUGCAUUAGCUGGUUGGUGAGGUAACGGCCCACCAAGGCGACGAUGCAUAGCCGGCCUGAGAGGGCGGACGGCCACAUUGGGACUGAGACACGGCCCAAACUCC